UUUACAAUAUAAAUUGAGCAAACAAUUCACCAUUUGUUAUAUACAAAGUUAAAACAUAAAUUCAAAUAUGGUUGGAAUUCUCAAACUUGUUUAUAUUGUGAUCAUUUAUGUUUCUUUUUUUCUUGUUGUAUGCAAGGGUGAAACGUGUGUUACUGUCGACGAUUGUCAGGGAAAACAUCAUUUGCCUCCUGGAUAUCACUUUAUUUGCAUGAACAGCCGUUGUGUUUUGAUAUAUUAUAAUUAGGAUUUGUUUUCUUUCUUGGAGGUGGGUGGAGGUUAUGUUUGCUCGCAACAUAGGUGGUGAUGUAUCGGUCACGAAGGUGACGAUGGAUGGUUCACUUAUGAUAUGUUAUGGUUUCGACGAAUCUUUUGUUGUGUUGGUUUCAUGGUGGUGCUGAUUUUGGUUCUUUUGUGAUGGUGCUCGUGGUGAUUUUUGACGGUGGUGCUCGUGGUGGUUUUUGGUGGUGAUGCAUGUGGUGGCUGGUGUUGUUUUUUGGUGAGGGUUAAUGGUAGUUUGGUGGCGGUGGUAGUAGUGGUCUUGGUUUUUGUGGUGGUGUUUUUGGUGGUGGUUAUGUUUUUUUUUCUUCUUGAUCUAUGAUGGUAUAAGGGUUUUUGGUCGGUUUUUACGGUUCUUUAAGAGGUGUGUUUUUGGAUGAAGGUGCUCGGGAAAGUUAAUGGUGUUGUUUGGGGUUUUCUUCGCGGCUGUUUUUCAAAGGUUGUUGGUUGUUGUUUAGAUUUUUAUGUUGUUGUUCAGGGGUUGUGAGCGAGCAACAUAAUGUAGGUGGUGGAAGUUGUUUUUGUGGCCGUUUGAGGAUUUUGGUACAACUUUUGUUUAUGUUAUUGUGCGGAGGUUUGUAUUUGAUUGUGGUGUUAGCUUUGUUUUUGGUGUUUCCUUUAUUGAUUUUGGAGAUAGCUCUUUGUUAGGUGGUGUUUUCUAUAGAUUUUCAUUGCGGUCUCCCCAUCUAUCCUUUGUAUGUUGCUACUUUAAGACUCCUAGCCUAGCAUUCCUUGUGCUGGUCAGGAUUCAUUGCAAUUUUAAUAAAUUCCAUUUUCGCUUCUUAAAAAAAAAAAAAAAUUGCAAUGAUGGAACAAACACCAUCCGAAAAAUUCCAUUAAAUAAUAUUGAAUUGAUCGGGCAAAGCCAAUUCAUUUUUA